GUGCCAGCAGCCGCGGUAAAACGUAGGAGGCGAGCGUUAUCCGGAUUUACUGGGCGUAAAGCGCGUGCAGGCGGUUCGGCGAGUUGGAUGUGAAAGCUCCUGGCUUAACUGGGAGAGGUCGUUCAAUACUGCCGAACUAGAGAGUGGUAGAGGGAGGUGGAAUUCCGCAUGUAGUGGUGAAAUGCGUAGAUAUGCGGAGGAACACCAGUGGCGAAAGCGGCCUCCUGGCCCAUUUCUGACGCUCAGACGCGAAAGCUAGGGUAGCAAACGGGAUUAGAUACCCGGGUAGUCC
rnacentral:rRNA from 1 species